UACGUAGGGGGCAAGCGUUGUCCGGAUUUAUUGGGCGUAAAGAGCGUGUAGGCGGUUUGGUAGGUCCGCUGUGAAAACUCGAGGCUCAACCUCGAGACGCCGGUGGAAACCAGCAGGCUAGAGGCCGGAAGAGGAGAGUGGAAUUCCUGGUGUAGCGGUGAAAUGCGCAGAUAUCAGGAAGAACACCCGUGGCUAAGGCGGCUCUCUAGUACGGUACUGACGCUGAGACGCGAAAGCGUGGGGAGCGAACAGG
rnacentral:rRNA from 1 species